rnacentral:rRNA from 1 species
UGGGGAAUAUUGGACAAUGGGCGCAAGCCUGAUCCAGCCAUGCCGCGUGAGUGAUGAAGGCCCUAGGGUUGUAAAGCUCUUUCACCGGUGAAGAUAAUGACGGUAACCGGAGAAGAAGCCCCGGCUAACUUCGUGCCAGCAGCCGCGGUAAUACGAAGGGGGUUAGCGUUGUUCGGAUUUACUGGGCGUAAAGCGCACGUAGGCGGACUUUUAAGUCAGGGGUGAAAUCCCGGGGCUCAACCCCGGAACUGCCUUUGAUACUGGAAGUCUUGAGUAUGGUAGAGGUGAGUGGAAUUCCGAGUGUAGAGGUGAAAUUCGUAGAUAUUCGGAGGAACACCAGUGGCGAAGGCGGCUCACUGGACCAUUACUGACGCUGAGGUGCGAAAGCGUGGGGAGCAAACAGG